UCAUGUGAUCAUCUGAGUUAGAACAAAAUCUAUUCAUUUUCAGGUAUUACUGUGCAAGUGCCCUGAAUCAUUCUGUUGAAAUGUUAUGUGUUUAAGAUUCUUUAUGACAUCAAGAUGUGGUUUGGGAAGGACCUUCAUCUAAAUCUGAAGACAGGACAUACUGGCUCAAAAAGGUGUUUCUGAUAUGGAGAAAAACCCUGCACUGCUCAUUUUAUUUCUUCAUCUUGAGAAUACAGCAAGUUUACCUUUUGUCUGGAAAAUGAUUCAGCAAAGCUAACACCAACAACAAUUUUUCAUGGCACUUUAAACCACCUUGAUGUGAGGAGCCAGCAUCAGAAUGGAUGGUGUCAAUAUCCUGAAUGAAGAAGUGGAGGUAACAGAGGUGGAUCUCAAGACUUGGCCAUGUUCUAGAUUAUAACUGGAUUAUCACAAGUGCUGUCGCCCCUGCUGUAUAUGACGCCCCCACCACCUACACCAGGUGUAGGAAAUGUCGGUCCUGGAGUGCCGUUGUCCUGCAGAGUUUUGCUCCAGCUCUAAACAAACACACCUGAACAACUAGAUCUGAAGAGUCACCAGUAAACUACAGGUAGGCGAGGUUUUAUCAGGGUUGGACAUAAAAUCUGCAGGAUUUCGGCACUCCAGGACCGACGUUGCCUACUCCUGACCUACACCUUCAUCCUGCCACCACCACCCAUACUACCUACAAAAAACUGUAUUGUAAUAAUGCUUUUCACUGUAUUGUAUGAUGUGGUUUUCUCAUUUAGGGUAACUACACUAUGGCAACCAUUUGAUAAAUUGAUUGCUGACUGAUUUUGUUAUUUUUUUUACUUUUUGUUUAAAAUCUAAUCAUUUUUUUGUUUUUGUUUUGUUAAUAUUGUUACAAAUAUACAGUUAAAACUGCACAAUAAAUUUUCUGCUUUUAAAGAUAUAGUUGU